CCCCAGGCGGGCCCUGCACCCCCCAGGAGGGCCCGGCUCAGCGGGCGGGGCUCCCCGAGAGGCCGCGGUUGCCUGCGGGGCUCCCGAGGGUCUUCCCCGCGGCGCAUCCCCUCCCGCGGCAGCUGAAAGGUGGACUGCUGUCUUCUGAGGACAUUGUGUAUGAUUUCUUUCCCCUCUUUUAAGUCUACAUGGAAACAUUUGAAACAGAAGGAUGUGAUGCACUGUGGCUGGCUUGAAGAUAGAGGAGAUUAUCUGACAUGGAAGUAGGUGGCUUCUAGAAGCUGAGAGCAGCUCUCAUUUAACAGACAUUGAAGAAAUGAGGACUUCAGUCUUACAACUUCAAGGAACUAAUUUUCUUUUGAGAAUCCAAAUGAGCUUGAAAGGGAGAGCCCUGAAUUCUGGAUGAGAAAAUAGCUGGUCAACAUUUUGAUUUCAACCUGAACAGAGAAUCUAACCAACCCUGCUACACUUCUGACUUACAAAAACUUGAGUUAUU